GCCUAAUUCUUAUAUUAUUAUUUAUAUAUAAAUCAUAAUUAUUUAUAUGCUUAUAAUAUAAUACUCUCCAUUUUAUAUUUAUGUAAAUUAAAAAAUAUUUAUAAUAUUAAAUAAUUAUUAAAAAACAAAAAUAGAUAAAUUGUUACCAAAUCAAAUCACUCCAACAAUCCAAUUCACGCGCCGCCGUCACCCACCUUGCCCUCCGCCGUCUUUCUUCUUCCUUUUUCUUUCUUUCUUCCUUACUUUCUCCCCCUCUUCUCUUUUUUCUUUCCUUUUCUUCUAAGUUGCGCCGCCGCCGCCGCCCGCUGGAGUAUCCGGUGCGGCUUUUUUUAAUUUCCCUCUCUUUCUUCAUUUCCCUCUGAUUGUGCUUCCGUUUACUAGGAAAUCGAGUAUGUUUUAACAUUUUCCUCAUCUAUUUUUUCAUUUUCUUUGCUUCUCCUACCGGUGGUCUCCGGUCGCCGGCGCUUCCGUUUCAGACCUCUUUGCCCAAGUUUUUCCGGUAGCUAGGGUGCACAGAAAAUCGCACCAACAAACAAACAUGGCCAAGUUUAUUCUCUAACACCAGUUUUGCUUGUAGGUUUUGUAAGUCGUUAGUCGAAAAUUUUGGGUCAAAUACAGUUCGUGAAAGCUCACAUUCGAAGUUCCACCAUGUUCGCUCAAGUCAGCAAUUCUCCGUUCGCGCAUCGUUGAAAACCCUGGAACUCCGAUCUCCAGUACAGGAUCGUGCGUUUCCUUAUAUUCCACUUCCACAAGGAUAUACAGCGGUCCGAUUUCGAGAUCACUGCGCAAGCGAAUCAACAGAAGAGCUAGAUUG